CUGGAUUCCACGAAAGCUCACCACUGAAUUUGGGAGUCAGAUGUGAAGGAGAUGUUAAGGCCUGCAGCCUGAAGCAUCUGAAACACUCAGCAACCAGGAAAACCACAGGAAAGGCCGCAAUCAAGUGAAUUGUUAAAUCAGUCUCAUCUUGAAUCCCAGCCAAAUGUCCACGGAAGCAUGGGAACUAGGGAGAAAGCAAUGCCAAGUGAAGUCACCAAGCUGGGCUGUGUGUUCCCCAGGCAGCCAUACGUGAGUACCUACGGGCAGAGACGGAAGGGAUGAAGUCACCAAGCUGGGCUGUGUGUUCCCCAGGCAGCCAUACUGACCCAUUGGAGAGUAGAGUGUGACUCCAUCUUCACAGUUUCCUUUGAAGUUGUGGCUGGUUCUAGCCAGGAAGGCAUGGAAACUUUGGGAAUUACUUACCUUCCAAAGAAGAGAAGGACUCUACAGGAGAACAUUCGCCAUUGCUACCUCUAUCGUGCCCUGUGCCCACGUGCACGCUUCCCUACUUUCUGCCUCCGGAUGAGGCACUGCUAAAGAUACCACUGCCUGCCCAUGUUCCCUUUCA